rnacentral:tRNA from 1 species
GGGUUGUUAGCUCAGUUGGUAGAGUAGCGGACUCUUAAUCCGUCAGUCGAGAGUUCUAGUCUCUCACAACCCA